UCAAGUAGUUCAUGUGAAAUGACUUUGGGAAUGGGGCGGUUCACCGGGGUAAUAAGCGGUAGCACCUCAUGCUGACAUGGAGUGCACGAUCGAGGUAUGUAUUUUCAGCUUGUUAGUCGGGAUGAAGUGUGAUACAUCAUAAUAUUUCUCUGCAUGAACUGUCAGGGACAUAACCACGUCCACUUAAUCCAAUUUAUCCAUGUUCAGUUCCUUAGAUUUCCUACCUAUGUCUGGAUUUACCAUUUAUUAUUUGACUAGGAAAAUUGCAUUGUUCAUCGCUUCAGAGAUCAAGUGAAAUUGUAGGUUGUAUCACUCUUUAGUUUGUUAACAAUCUGUUCACGGAGUCACUACUCCAUGAUCACAUAAGACACAUAUGUUAAGGUCAAGAAUUUGUCAUCUAUACUUGUGUUCCCUUUUUAGUUAUGCUGACCUUGAGAGAGUCAAUUAUUGGAACAAUUGAAUUAUUUGAAAAGUAAAUUGCCAGUCUGUUACAUGUGGGAAGAGGCCUUUUGGAACAAGUGAAUUAUUUGAAAACAAAAAUAUUCAAAUUGUUAAAAGUGAUGUUUCUCUCCAAGUACAAUUCUAUGCAAGCACUGAUCUUUAAAUUGAAGGUGAUUAUUCUUUUUAAGAAGGCAGAAUGAGUCACUUUGGUGUAUAUGAUCCUAUGGUUUUUUCUAUUGAUUGCUAUGUUUGUUCUUAUUAUAUCCUCUAGCUGACCCGACUUGCCAUUUCAUACUGAUGCUAUUAGAUUGGGUGCUCAUGCACGAGGGUUACUUCUCUUAAGGGUGUGUUACUGUUUAUUUAUGGUUUAGACUUGAACACAUUCUUCCGUUUGAAAGCAAUAUGUGCCACUCUCUAAUGAUAAUGGUAACUAAUUAUUCAUUUAACACAUGCAGAUUAUCAGAUACUACCGGAUGUCGCUGCUUUGCAGCAUCAGAUUUAUGUUGGUGAGCUCGUCCAUGUUGCUCAUGGAAUGGCUUGAUGUGAAAGAAAAUGGGCCCAUAGGUCGGGAAGAGAUGCUUUGAUUGAGCAUAAGCAUGGUGUUGUUAGAAUUUUUGAUAUUAGUUAGAUCUUUAGAUAGCAUUUGUUUGGAGGUCGGAUAGUCUUAUUAUGAGAGACUAAUGGGUAUGCAUUAUGCUUAUAUAAAAAUAUACAAUAUCACCUGUUGUGAUAUAGGUUAGCCAUGAUCAGUGUUUAUCCACCAGAAUUUGUAUGUCACCGUUGCAACGCACGGGCAAACUAACUAGUCUUAUAUAAACUUGGAAAGAGUUGAUAAUUCCCGCAUGAAAUAAAGGGGAGUUUCAU
rnacentral:lncRNA from 1 species